rnacentral:rRNA from 1 species
CUGCAUGAAGCUGGAAUCGCUAGUAAUCGCGAAUCAGAAUGUCGCGGUGAAUACGUUCCCGGGUCUUGUAUACACCGCCCGUCACACCAUGGGAGUUGGAAAUGCCCGAAGUCAGUGACCCAACCGAAAGGAGGGAGCUGCCGAAGGCAGGUCUGAUAACUGGGGUGAAGUCGUAACAAGGUAAC